rnacentral:rRNA from 1 species
GGGGGGGGCAAGCGUUUGUUCGGAAUUACUGGGCGUAAAGGGCGCGUAGGCUGUCCCGCAAGUCUUUCGUGAAAUCCCACAGCUCAACUGUGGAAUUGCGAGAGAAACUGCAGGACUUGAGUUCGGGAGAGGAGAGUGGAAUUCCCAGUGUAGCGGUGAAAUGCGUAGAUAUUGGGAGGAACACCGGUGGCGAAGGCGGCUCUCUGGACCGACACUGACGCUGAGGCGCGAAAGCUAGGGGAGCAAACGGGGAUUAGAUACCCCGGUAGUCCUAGCCCUAAACGAUGAGCACUUGGUGUGGCGGGUAUCGACCCCCUGCCGUGCCCGAAGCUAACGCAUUAAGUGCUCCGCCUGGGGAGUACGGUCGCAAGGCUG